rnacentral:lncRNA from 1 species
AUUUCUCACUCUACGGGUGUCAGAAAAAUAUGAAACCUUAAACCUAGCCUCAUAAAAAUAUUUCUGACUUAUCCUCCAAUUUUCAUAAUUUUCUGAGACUGUGCAUUUUCUGCUAAUUUUUCUGUCCCAUUUCCCACAGAAAAUUCUAAAUCUUCUGUUUUUGCUCCGAUUUCAGCACAGGUCAUUUUCAAUCUAUAUUUCGCUUAUCUAAAUUCAAUAAAAUAGUAUCUCAUACUAUUUUUAUUUAUUUACACCUUUAUAUUUAAAAUCCGGUAUGUUACAUUCUACUACAACCUCACCGGAACCAUUCAAAUGUAAACCGUAACCUCAUGAUUUUA